UUACGGCCAUAUCACGUUGUAACACCGGCUCCCUUACGAUCAUCGAAGUUAAGCAACAUCGAAUCUGGUCAGUACCUAGAUGGGUGAUCGUUUGGGAUACCAGGUGCUGAA